rnacentral:rRNA from 1 species
GUGCCAGCCGCCGCGGUAAUACAGAGGGUGCGAGCGUUAAUCGGAAUUACUGGGCGUAAAGGGUGCGUAGGUGGUUUGAUAAGUUAGGUGUGAAAGCCCUGGGCUUAACCUGGGAAUUGCGCUUAAGACUGUUGAGCUAGAGUACUGUAGAGGGAGGUGGAAUUUCCGGUGUAGCGGUGAAAUGCGUAGAUAUCGGAAGGAACACCAGUGGCGAAGGCGACUUUCUGGACAGAUACUGACACUGAGGCACGAAAGCGUGGGGAGCAAACAGGAUUAGAUACCCUGGUAGUCC